rnacentral:snoRNA from 1 species
ACGACCUUACUUGAACAGGAUUUGCUCCGUAGGCUCGUACUUUUGUAUCCUUGAGUUGACCUGGCGAGCGGGUGUUGCGUCCGUUCUGAACACGUUGGUUGAACGUCUUUCACAUGCCGCUCGGUCCCUAUGGUACACAGGCCCCCCAAGCCCUAAGCGACUUAGUGGCUG